AACGCUAGCGGCAGGCUUAACACAUGCAAGUCGAGGGGUAUGCCGAUUUAUCGGCAGAGACCGGCGCGACGGGUGCGUAACGCGUAUGCAAUCUACCUUUCACAGAGGGAUAGCCCAGAGAAAUUUGGAUUAAUACCUCAUAGUAUAGCAGUUUCGCAUGAAACCACUAUUAAAGUUCCAACGGUGAAAGAUGAGCAUGCGUCCCAUUAGCUAGAUGGUAAGGUAACGGCUUACCAUGGCUACGAUGGGUAGGGGUCCUGAGAGGGAGAUCCCCCACACUGGUACUGAGACACGGACCAGACUCCUACGGGAGGCAGCAGUGAGGAAUAUUGGACAAUGGGCGCAAGCCUGAUCCAGCCAUGCCGCGUGCAGGAUGACGGUCCUAUGGAUUGUAAACUGCUUUUGUACAGGAAGAAACACUCCCUCGUGAGGGAGCUUGACGGUACUGUAAGAAUAAGGAUCGGCUAACUCCGUG
rnacentral:rRNA from 1 species